AUUGAACGCUGGCGGCAUGCCUUACACAUGCAAGUCGAACGGUAACAGGUCUUCGUAUGCUGACGAGUGGCGAACGGGUGAGUAAUACAUCGGAACGUGCCCCGACGUUGGGGAUAACGAGGCGAAAGCUUUGCUAAUACCUCAUACGAUCUGAGGUUUAAAGCAGGGGACCUCAAGGCCUUGUGCGUUUCUUGCGGCCGAUGGGAGAUUAGGUAGUUGGUGGGAUAAAAGCUUACCAAGCCGACGAUCUGUAGCUGGUCUGAGAGGACGACCAGCCACACUGGGACUGAGACACGGCCCAGACUCCUACGGGAGGCAGCAGUGGGGAAUUUUGGACAAUGGGCGAAAGCCUGAUCCAGCAAUGCCGCGUGCAGGAUGAAGGCCUUCGGGUUGUAAACUGCUUUUGUACGGAACGAAAAGGCUCUGGCUAAUACCUGGGGCACAUGACGGUACCGUAAGAAUAAGCACCGGCUAACUACGUG
rnacentral:rRNA from 1 species